UACAGAGGUCCCGAGCGUUGUUCGGAUUCAUUGGGCGUAAAGGGUGCGUAGGCGGUGCGGAAAGUUGGGUGUGAAAUCCCUCGGCUCAACCGAGGAACUGCGCCCAAAACUACCGUACUCGAGGAAGAUAGAGGUGAGCGGAACUUACGGUGGAGCGGUGAAAUGCGUUGAUAUCGUAAGGAACACCCGUGGCGAAAGCGGCUCACUGGGUCUUCUCUGACGCUGAUGCACGAAAGCUAGGGGAGCAAACGGG
rnacentral:rRNA from 1 species